UUUCUUAAUAACAUAAGCCCAUUAUUUUUUUUCUUAAUACUACUGUCCUUAUUUCCAAACAAAAUUAAUUUUUUUUAAAAGAUUACAAUUCAUGUUUCCAAACACUCCAAAUUUUUUUAAUAGUCCUAUUCAAGUCUCCAAACACUCCAAUUUUGUAUUUGAGUUUUAAUAAGAUAGAUAUGGUGAAUCCUUAGUUCAUUUCCCGUUGACCACUAUGAGAUUUACAAAUAUCAGCAUUGUUGAAGCAUACAAAUUAGUGGGUUGAAUUCGGUCAUCGGAUACUGUAGUUAGUUAAAAAAAAAAAAUUAUCCUACUGAAUGGUCUCUAUUCUCCAAAUAAAAGUUAUUUUAAUAUGAUUGGGCUCUCAUCUUAUAGAGAUUUGGGGACCAUUGAAUAACACCUUUUAGUUAUAAAAUAUUUAAACCAAAUGUUGUUGGUUUAAGUUCCAUUUGUUUUUUUUUUGUUGACAUCAAACCGCUAAUCUAUUAUUCAAGCUUGACCGGAAUAGAACAACCAAUGUAAAACAGGUCCCUAUGAAAAGAUCUCACUAUCUUAGCUAAUGAAUCAGAAUAUAUAUUUUAAGAUCGAUGAAUAAAAACAAUCGAGAAUUCUGGUAAUGUUAUUUCAAAAUACAAUAUACAUAUUUUUGUUGUUGUUGAUUGGUGUUGUUAAAAGCAACUACAAUUGAAGUUGGAAAAAGUGAGAUGCAAGAUCAAACUACUCUUCUAGAUACAGUAUUUUCUUAGUGAUCCUUUCAGAAUUAGACAUUAGUGUGGUCAGACCCGGUCCAUAAUUUUUCAUGAGGUUUUGGUUUGGAUUGAACCGGUUGAACCGGAUUUUAGUAAUUCUAGUUGGUAGUUGCGCGUGCAUAAACGGUUUCUUCCUUAAUCCUAAACAGAGAUUUGCAACAAUAAGGUAUUUUGUUCUUUGACCCAAAAAAAAAAAGGUAUUUUGUUCUCUUCCCUUUCGCUCGUCGUCGUUAUGCGCCAGGGAUGAAGAUUCACGCUCCUCCCGUCGGAUUGCCGAACAAUUUUAAGCGUUUUCAUCAUUUCUUACGGGUUUAUUAUUAUAUGCUGACUUCAUGAAUCAUGAGGUACGCGCACCACGUGUUCGACGAAAUUCAUGAGACGAGCUUUCUUGGCUCACAGCUAUGUGAUAGAAUCCACUUGCUAAAGCGGAGUUUGGAGAACCUUACAGCUAAAGCGAGAUCCAGUGGUGCAAAUGGGUAAGUACUUGCCUUGUUCAGUUCAUUAUUGCUAGCAUAUUCUAAGAAUGGCUGUGUGAUUAGGCAUAUCCUUUAGAACAGAACCUGGGACCUCUUGCAUUCAUAUUGAUAGUCUACAUUGUAAUAAAUCUGAGCAUGAAUCAUACCCUUUAGACCACAUACAUUGUUGUUUAUAAGCUUAAACUUUUAUACAUAUCUUCUUUAGUGUUGGCCAGAAAUCUACUGCUUUUUGAGAAGGCUGAUUAGUUUUUAAACCUAUCUUGAGAAAUAUCUAGGCUCGAAGGGACGAAUUCAUAAUGUUAUAGUUUACAUUGGAUCAUAGGACUAAAAAUAUAGAUGAUUGUCUAAUAAAUUUCGCUACUGGAAUGUAGACCAUCUGCUCAAAACAAAAGUCAAUGGGGCAUUCCGAGAAUCGAACUCGGGACCUCUCGCACCCAAAGCGAGAAUCAUACCACUAGACCAAAUGCCCUGUUGUUGGUUUAGUUCCAUUAGGCAUUGGAUUAGAGAAUACACAUUCAUUCUGUUUUACAGUAAACUUUACUCUUGAAGAUUUCUCCUUUUGAGGGUUCUAUUCUUGAUGAACUCGCUAUAUACAGCUAAAGUUCAGGCUAUCCUAUAUUUUAUUUUUGAAUCUGAUAUUAGGAUGUUUUCUUGUUUAGUAACCUAAUCAAGAUAAUAUGGUUUUAGAUCUAAUUCUAUUAGUUGACUUUCAGGCCUUAAUAGUGAAAGCUGAUAGUCUGUAGUUUAAUAUUGGUUUUGUGAAAUGUUAGCUGGCAUUGAGAACAUUUGUCUUACAAAAAGUCAAUGGGGCAUUCCGAGAAUCGAACUCGGGACCUCUCGCACCCAAAGCGAGAAUCAUACCACUAGACCAAAUGCCCUUUGUUGAUUAACUGAUUCAAUGCAUAAACUGUUCUUAAAAUGCAGACAACGGUUUCAGGCUUUGUUCUUUUUCACUUCCUGCAGCUGUCUCUUGAAGAAAUCUGGCAGCAUUCAGCUACCGAUGAUCUCUGAUCAAUUUGCUAUCCAGAAAGUGGUUUCUUGCUGGACGUGAAUGUAAGGUGCGUUGUGAUUCUCAUUUUAUUACUUGCAUAGUUGCGUUUCUGCAUUUUAUGCCAAAAGUCGUAAAGGGAAAUUGUAUUCUAAAGUACCAUUUCUAAAUGUUGAAGAGAUACACAACAAUGCACGCACUAUAUUUUGUUGUACGACAGUUUAUCAGCUGGCAUUUAAAAUACUUCUAGACCAAAUGCUCUGUUUUCAUAAUGUUGUUCAGUGGCUUCUAUUAGCAUUCUUUCCAUAUAUCGCUUUUUUUUUGCUUCCCUGUUAAAUAGUACAACACAAUUUGAUUUCUCUUUCUGCAGCCUAUUAGUUUGUGGAUUUGAGAGCCUACAAAACGUUGAUGAUCUGCCCCUAUCUGAAAAAUAGUUAACAAAAUUAAUUUACUCUACCUGAAAAAGCGGUAUGAUUUUUUUUUCCUUUGCAUUGAACACUUGCAUUAUGAAAUUCUAAGGUAGUUUUUGCUGUGAAAGUAAAACGGUCUAAUUAUUAUAUGGUCCUCUGUCGCAACAGGAUCUGUGAAAAUGUUGUAGGACUAAAAUGCAUUCCUGAUUUUGCUAGAAUACUCCUAGUAGAAUUCAGGCCAUAUACUUAAAAAAGUCAAUGGGGGCAUUCCGAGAAUUGAACUCGGGAUCUCUCGCACCCUAAGACCAUCUCCAAUGGCUUACUCUAUUUUUUACUCUAAAAUAGAGUAACUCUAUAAUAGAGUUUGAAUUUGCUCCAAUGGUACUCUAUUUUAAAGUAAAAAAUAGAGUGAUGAACAAACAAAAAACAAGUUACUCUAUAUUUGGAGUAAAUCUAUUUUUCAUUCUAUUAUACAAAAAGAAAUAGAGUACCAUUGGAGCAUUCUUUACUCUAAACUCUAUUUUAGAGUAAAAAAUAGAGUGGGGUUGGAGAUGCUCUAAGCGAGAAUCAUACCACUAGACCAAAUGCCCUGUUGUUAAACAGUUUAGUUGAAACGUCAAAAUUUGGUCAUACUUUGAUCUGGUUCCCAUAGUUGACUUUUACUAAAUAAAUAUUUUAGUCUUUGUAGGAUGUUCUUAGAUCUAAUCUAGUGAGAUUCCAGUCUAGUGAGAUCUCUUUCAACUGAAGUUCCAGUAGGAUGAUCAUUUGCAUUUCCACCUCGCGAAAAAACACGCAGUGCAUUUGUUAAAUAAUCUAAGAAAGAAAUAAUGUUUUAGAUCUAGUUCUAUUAGUUGACUUUCAGGGUUUAAUACUGAAGUUUGAGUGUUUGUAAUUUAUUGACAUGUUCGCUAGCAUUUUGAACAUGUGUGUUACAAAAAGUCAAUGGGGCAUUCCGAGAAUCGAACUCGGGACCUCUCGCACCCAAAGCGAGAAUCAUACCACUAGACCAAAUGCCCGGUUAUUGUUGUUUUUAGUUUAAACAUUCUCUUUGUUUCCUUGCUCUUUUCUUGAACGAUUUGUUCUUGGUUUAUAGUUCUUCUUUCUUGACAUUGCAAUGGAAUUGUUCACGUGCAUAUCUUUAAGAUGAAUUCAGGCAGAAAGUUCCAGCUUUGUAUCCUAUUCUUUCAGGUUUCUUGUAGUGUACAGUGUACACUGAACAAAAUUUACUAGGAUCAGACUAGGCAGCUGUUGCAGCCAGAGGGAAAAAAUUGUAAAACCAGAAUAAAUGCAUGUGGUUUUGUAGAUUCUUAAGAAGGUUUCAGUUCUUGAUUCUUAGAUUCCUGCAAUUUCUUUUUUGUAUUUCAUUGAAAUUUGCAUUUGAUACUUGCCCAAUUUGCAAUUGAUGUUGUUUGCUUUUGGAGAAUCUAGUGGCACAAAGCUAGUAAUUGUAUUGUCUAAUGUUUUCUAGUAGAAUCUGCAGAAGGGAGGUGGUUUCUGGUUGAAGAGUUGGCUUAGUUUGGUUUCAACACUUACUGUCGUAAAUCAUCACAAGAAUUUCAAGAGCUUGAGACGGAGAUCUAAACUCCAGUCAACUACUGGCGUUUUUAAUCUAGUCCUGGUGAAUGAAAUGCAAGAGAAGACAUUAAUGUUCAACUGCUGAAGCUUGUUGUCGUGGCCCCAUCUGACAUGAAAGCAAAGUUGUCUCUUGGAGAAAUCAGCCAGAAUUGUGUAAACGGCUCCAAUCAAACCAAAACCCAAGUCUCAAAGGUCAGUGGAUUUGAUAUAUAGCUUUGGUGGCUUGGAGUUAUGAUACUGGUUGACAAAAAAAUGUUAUAUGUGUUGGUUUCAGAUGAUUUGCUGUUUUAGUUAAAAGCGUUGGAGCUAGUUUUGGAAUUAUAUUGCAUCGUAUUUAGAUACCUUGUUCUUA